GGAAUUUCCAAGCGGAGAUCUUUUAUGAGUUUUCACUUCUUUUGUCUAAACACAUUGAAACCUGAAGGCCAGAUACUCAGCUGGUAAAUCAGCUUAAUUCCACUGACGUCAGUGGAGCAGCGCCAACAGCAGAUCUGACCCGCUUCUUUAAUCUGAUCACUUGUCCAUCUCGUUUAUUUCAGAUUACAUCAGAGUGAGCAGAGCCUUACCUCAUUCACCAUCACCUUGAUAUAGGCAUAGUCUUGUGAGUCUUCUCAGAAGACUAUGGUCACUGAGAAAGAUGUAAAAAGCAAGAGUAGAAUCCAGGCCUACACCAUGUGGAAAAUGCAUGGAGCAAAGGAGUGAUUUCUUCAGUGCUGCCAUUCCAUUGGAGAUUGCAGUAGAAUCUCCUUCCAUGAUAGUCACCAUGCUGGAGUAAGUUCUCUGGUUGUGCUUCCUGUCAUCAGGUGUCACUCCAUCCAGAUGUCUGCAAGGAGAAGGAAGAUGAUAUGGCAGAAGACACUUGCAGGAAAAGAGUGGCAAGACUUAAUGGACUUUCAGAAGGCCAUACCACAUCUUGGAUUUCAAGAAGAGACUUUAGGUCCUGUGAAUAAGCCUAGCUAACCUUCUAGUCUAGCCUACGUUUUUCUAAAUAACAAUUAAAUGGAGGGACUAGAAGGGUUCUCAGGCUUAUGGGUUGGUUUAUCAUUUUAAAGAGUACUUUGACCUUGUCUAAUUUUAUAAACAAAAAGGUGGCCACUAUGAAAUUCAAAUGCCAUUUUUAAGAAAUGUGGGAAAACUGAAAUUUUCUCCUUUUCAUUUCUUUUCUCAGCGAAACAAACUUCAGGUGGCUUCUGUAAUGAAUGAAUCAGAGUAAGACUGUAAGGUGGCUGUGUUUGCCUACUGCAGUGCCACUGUGCCGGGUGUAUUAACACUACAGCGUGAAGAGUUUGGUCAGUUUGAAUUUAAGGACUUGUGAAAGAUUUCAAGAUAAAAAAGGAUGUAUAUUGGAAGCACAGUUACUGUAUCUAACUGAUCUAUUCGAACAAUCAUAUUAUAAAAUCAAAGUAUUUCCAUAUGAUUUUAUUCAACAACAGCUAUUCUACUUUAAUUUUACAUUCCCCAACUUCUCUGGAAUAGCUUUUCUAUGUAGAAAGGCUCUAGAAGGAUGGAAUUACAAAACAAAAAAAUAGAGAAUCUAAAAAGAUAUUUUUCUUAGUUUGAUCCAACAGAUAGCAACAUAAAUAAUGAAAUCUAUGGGAGGACUGAUCUGCUAUCCUCUUGUAUUGUGUUCUAUUUACAAAUGCACAGUUCAGUGAUGGACAGUGUCACUUAGUUCUGAAACGAUUAUCUGUACAGUGGGAAACACCUCCUCCUAGCAUUCAGAGUACAAUGUUGAUUUUCCCAUGAAGAGGAAGGCUUUGUUGCUGAUUCUGAGAGCUGAGACAUGGAGAAUCAGAUGACAGUUCACUCUGUUGACAAACAUCUUUGGUUAUAUCAUUUAUGGCCUGCAUCUAAACUUGUUUACAUGAAUGUAAAUGAGGAAUUGUCUCCAGUGAAACACAUGGAAGCAAGUGCUGUAUAAACAGUCAAUUUACUUUUUUCCUCCUGUAUUAUUUUUCUA
ensembl:lncRNA